UCCUCUCGUUUUGAUCCAUUCGUGGCCCCUCGCGCAGGACCGACUUCCUAUAAAUACUGCGCUCCUCCUCAUCCGAUUCUCCAAAAAACCUCGAACUCCUGUGCCCUAGAGCUCCAUCCCGAUCUCGCCGAAGUUCGCCGUUGCAAGGGCACCUUCGCCGGUCGAUUUCGUCGCCUCUGCUUCUCUUUUGAUUCCACUCUCUCAAACGCGCAGGUCCCUAACCCUUUUUCUCGCGUAGUUCCGCACGGGAACGACGACCCUGACGCUUCCCACAUCUCGCCGUUGCCCGCACUUCGUUCACUCGCCCUCAUCGCCAGAGGAGGCUCCCGACGCCGUAGACAACACCACCGACCUGGCCAGGGGGCGCUGCAUCUCGUUAGCUACUCCCCGGAGCUUGGAGACCACUGGAGCAAGCUCGACAACCACCUCCCGACACCCGCGUUUCCAUCUUCCCCGACUCCGACGCUGUUGACCGCCCACUGAUUAUUACAGUGAUGAGUGAGUUUCUUUGUUGGUUUACGGUCUACACUCAACCUGCCGGUGGCGUUGAUGGGACUCCACACCCGAUUGAUUGUUUCCGCUGAAACUUAUAAGCAUAGUGAUCCAGGGAUGGCACGGAUACAAAGAGGCUUGUCCAUCUGAGGUCGGGUCGCUACAACACUUGCAGACAUUUUCUUCCUGAAAACAACUUGUCAUCUCCUUCUGCACCUCAUUGGGUUCGACACUCUUACUUAUCGAAAAGAGCUACAAUUGAUCCCCUAUA